CCUGGGGCUCCCAGUGGCGGAUGCAGCAGGAUGCAUUGGGGGGGCACUGAACGCCGGGUGGCCCCUCGGGCUCUGUUCCCCUCUGGGGCUGGACCCACCCAGCUGGACUCGAAGCCCCUUGCACUGGUGGCUGGGCGGGGGGGGCUGUGCCCACAUCUCACGGAUGCUGCUCUCUCCCCAGGGGAUCCAGGGGGAGCCGGGCCCCCCUGGGCAGCAGGGGACCCCGGGACCCCAGGGCCUGCCUGGCCCCCAGGGGCCCAUCGGGAUGCCGGGGGAGAAGGGCCCACCGGGGAAGCGGGGCAUGCAGGGCGUGGCUGGCGCCGACGGCCCCCCCGU